rnacentral:rRNA from 1 species
UACGUAGGGUGCAAGCGUUGUCCGGAAUUAUUGGGCGUAAAGAGCGUGUAGGCGGCCAGAUAGGUCUGCUGUGAAAACUCGAGGCUCAACCUCGAGCUGUCGGCGGAAACCAUCCGGCUAGAGUCCGGAAGAGGAGAGUGGAAUUCCCGGUGUAGCGGUGAAAUGCGCAGAUAUCGGGAAGAACACCUGUGGCGAAGGCGGCUCUCUGGGACGGUACUGACGCUGAGACGCGAAAGCGUGGGGAGCAAACAGG